AGAUCGUGCACAUCAUUCUUAGCCACCCGCAUCCAUCUGCUGAUGUUCAUCGUGUGGUGAGGGCUUUGGGGUACCUUGGCUUUUGGAAAAAAUGCUUGGAGUAGCCCAGGGAAUCCCAGAGAGCGACACAAGGAGUCACCCUGCCUCUGUGGGGCCCUGGCUCCUGCUGGCUGAAGGAGCAGGAACCCCCACUCGGGCAUUUCUGCAGAGACGACACGGCUGCUCAGGUAGCUCGGCAAGAAAAGAGCUGAUGGAUUCUGUUGUGUCACAAGGGUGGAUGUUUUUCGGUUACUUCUCACGCUGUAGGAAACAGUAAAGAAAAAGAAAAAACAGCACCCUCCUACUUCUGGUUUCAAAUGAUUUCUAAUUUGGAACAGCACAAACAACACGGCGCAGUCACUCUGACUGGGUUUGCGAUUGUUUCUACUGGCUGAUGUGGGUCGAAGGAAAAGCAGGUCUCGAAAUGCUGAAUAUUCUUUAUGUUUUAAAUGGGUGCGUAAAUUGCCAUUGGGAAAAGCAGCUCUGUUCGGGGAAGCUUUGGUGCUCUAGAAUAAAACCUGUUAGGAAUGGAAAAUUCUCACCCGCCGUAGUUUUAUCCGUUACGGUACGAGAGUGCGGAAAUAAGGAAGGAAGAGAGUUUUUGUAUUAUUAAUUGACGCUCAUUUUUAGCUGGCAUGCGGUGGCAGGUCCUGCACACAAACCAUAGGCUGCACGAAGCGCAGAUUAGAUCCGAAACUUUUGGAAAUGUUCUAAAUCUUCGUAACCCCGCAGAUAGGAAACGUAAUGGCAAACUGAUAAAUGGAGUAGAUGUAUUUUUUUUUCAGCGUAAUUCACCGUUCCUUCCUAUAAUUUUUUUCUACCCGUGGAGAUAAAGCAAAACAAAUUCCUCCAAAGGAAGAGAAAUAUAUUUCCAGAUCCCUUUUCCCAUUAAGUAAGAUCUCUCUCUUGCGCAUAGGUACUGCCAGAUAUCAAUCUGCACCUUUCCUACUCCGCACCUUCGAGCAGAGCUGUCGGCUCUGCAGAUACUGCAGAAGCUGUGUGUGUGUGUGCAGGAAACUCUGUACCAUAAUUACAGCGUGCAUAGAUGAGAUCGUCAUUAUAAUUUUGCGUAAUCUGUUAUAUAAUCUCAAGACCGGCGUGAGACGAGAAAACGCGGUCACGCUGCAAUUCUUGGGAAGCAAAAGCAAAUCGCGGAUGCUCAGCGAACGUCCUGGCAACUGAGGAACCCACACGGAGAUGAGAGGAGAGGAGAUGAGAGGAGAGGAGAGCACGGACGCGGCGCUGUCCGCGGGGCGAACCCCAGCGCGGCAGCUUCCGCGAAGGGAGCGGGGGAGGGAGCGCGGCGGAGCGGCUCGGCGGGCGGAGCGGGGCUGCGCGGGGCUGCGCGGGGCUGCGCGGGGCUGCGCGGGGCUGCGCGGAGCACGGCGCAUUUCCGCUUGGGCUGUGGGGGCGAGGCGGCGCUGGGGGACAGGUGCAGCUGCAGAACGGAGAAGAGGGGAAGAGAACGAAGCACAGAGCGCUGAGCGCCGAUUGAUCGCGGGAGCCUCUUCUCGUUUCCAGACGGAGAAACGCGCCCGAGCGAACCGGCAGUCGGUGCCGGGGCUCGGACAGAGCCGGUCCUCCCGAGCCGGCCCCUCGAGCCUGCCGGCAGAAGCGCCCCGGCAUCCCCGAGGAGGCCGCCGCCGAACGGGGGAAAAGAACAGAAAGAAGAGAGAGAGAGAGAGAGACGGAAGCGAGGACGCAGGAAAACGAUGGAGCGAGCUGCAAGGAAAUAAAUAAGAUGCCAAGUAAAUCAGAUCAAAUCGCCAGGCGUGCGUUCCCGACAAACAGCCAGCUUUAUAAUUUCCAGGUGUCGGGGAAAGCCGUUGUCUUACAGUUUAUAAAUCCCUGCCGAGGGAGGGAGGGGAGAAUCUUUGGAGGUGAAGGAAAUAUCAAAUCACAAGCCUCUAUGUAGAUUUAUGAUUGCAUAAGAGGCUCGAUCGUUUCCAUAUAUUGAAAUGCGCUGUCCUUCCUGUGACUGCCCAGCCCUGGGAGGGAGCGAGCCGCUCGAUUUCGUCUUGAUCAAUGCUGCCUGUGAAGCAAGGAGGAGGAGAAGGGGGGGACCAGGCUGGCACCAGAUGGAGCAGGGUCUAGGGAAAGGUCAAGGUUAGCUCAGGCUGCUAUUGAAUCGGUUGCAGCCUCACAGAUAGAUCUCUGCCUCGGAGGCACCCACUGGGGCUUCUCAGAAUCAAAUCUAAUAGAAAAGGCAAUCACAGAAUGAAAUCGUUUUUAUCUGAAUGCUAAAAUUGUUAUUAGGCUACAUUAGAGAGAUACCGGGCACGUGAUUACCAAAAAAGGAAGCACGCCUAGCAGUUGGUGACUGAAAUAAAAGCUGUGAAUAUGUCGAUGCCA